CCUACGGGAGGCAGCAGUGAGGAAUAUUGGUCAAUGGACGGAAGUCUGAACCAGCCAAGUAGCGUGCAGGAUGACGGCCCUAUGGGUUGUAAACUGCUUUUAUAUAGGGAUAAAGUCGGGGACGUGUCCCCGUUUGUAGGUACUAUAUGAAUAAGGACCGGCUAAUUCCGUGCCAGCAGCCGCGGUAAU
rnacentral:rRNA from 2 species